rnacentral:rRNA from 1 species
GACAGAGGAGGCAAGCGUUGUUCGGAAUCAUUGGGCUUAAAGGGCGUGUAGGCGGCAACGCAAGUGUCGAGUGAAAUCCCAUCGCUCAACGAUGGAACGGCUCGGCAAACUGCGUGGCUUGAGGUCGGUAGAGGUGCUCGGAACUCUAGGUGGAGCGGUGAAAUGCGUAGAGAUUGGGAAGAACAUCGGUGGCGAAGGCGCUCUGCUGGACCAUAACUGACACUCACAGGACGAAAGCUAGGGGAGCGAAUGGG